rnacentral:lncRNA from 1 species
GUAGCUGAUGCUCUUAGUCGAAAUCCCUCCAUAUCUUUAUCUCAUAUAAAGAUGGUUCGUGUUUCGCUUCUUUGUGAGUUGCGAGCUACAGGAGUGGAUUUGUCAGUGGAUGAGGUUGGUGCUUUGAUAGCCAGUUUUCAUGUGAGGCCAGUUUUGGUUGAUAGAGUGCGGGAAGCACAGUAUAAUGAUCCUUCCAUAGUUCGAUUGAUGGAAAGAGCUUCGAAUGGAGCCGCAGCCGAUCAUUUUUCAGUUAGAAGAGAUGGGACUCUAUUGUUUAAAAAUCGGCUAUGUGUUCCAAAAAGAAAUGAAGAGUUGAAGAGUGAGAUUAUGGAGGAAGCUCAUAGCUCGGCAUAUGCUGCUCAUCCGGGUAGCACAAAAAUGUAUCGGAUUUUGAAGGAUUAUUAUUGGUGGCCAAACAUGAAGAGGGAAAUUGCAGCUUAUGUGAGUAGAUGUCUGAUUUGUCAGCAAGUCAAGGCUGAAAGGCAGAAGCCUUCAGGAUUGCUUGAGCCGUUGCCCAUUCCAGUGUGGAAGUGGGACCACAUCACCAUGGAUUUUGUUUUUAGCUUACCUCGUACCCGUGAUGGGCAUGACGGUAUUUGGGUGAUUGUGGAUAGACUCACCAAGUCUGCACAUUUCUUGCCAGUGGGAAAGAAGUAUAAAUUAGAUAAAUUGGCGGAGCUCUAUGUGAAUGAAAUUGUGAGGCUUCAUGGUGUUCCUGAAUCAAUAGUGUCAGAUCGGGACCCUCGAUUCGCUUCUAAAUUCUGGGGAGCUCUUCAGGCAGCUUUAGGUACCCAAUUACUCUUCAGCACUGCUUUUCAUCCUCAGACUGAUGGGCAGUCCGAGAGGACUAUUCAGACUUUGGAGGAUAUGUUGAGGGCUUGUGCCAUGCAGUUCAGAGGUAGUUGGGAUAAAAACCUGUCUUUGAUGGAAUUUGCCUAUAAUAAUAGCUAUCAUUCUAGCAUUGGUAUGGCGCCCUUUGAGGCUCUUUAUUGGAGGCAGUGUCGCACGCCUUUGUGUUGGAAUGAAGUAGGGGAAAAAGAGUUUUGUGGCCCAGAGUUAAUCCAUGUUACGAAUGAGAAGAUUAAAGUGGUUAGAGAUAGACUCAAGACCGCUCAAAGUAGGCAGAAGAGUUAUGCAGAUGUCCGUAGGAGAGAUCUUGAAUUUCAAGUAGGUGAUUGGGUGUUCCUGAAAUUAUCUCCUUGGAAAGGGGUUGUGCGCUUUGGGAAGCGUGGGAAGCUUAGCCCGAGGUAUAUUGGCCCUUAUGAGAUUAUAGAGCGAGUUGGCUCACUUGCUUAUCGAUUAGCCUUGCCUCGAGGGUUAUCCCGGAUACAUAAUGUGUUUCAUGUAUCCAUGCUUCGCAAGUAUAUUGCCGAUCCUUCUCAUGUGCUGCAAGAGCAGCCGAUCAGUUUGACGAGAGAUUUGACCUAUGAAGAGGAACCGGUUCAGAUUCUCGAUCGAAAGGAGCAAGUGCUUAGGAACAAGACAAUCCCGCUUGUCAAGGUGCUUUGGAGAAGUCAUCAAGUAGAAGAAGCUACUUGGGAAUCAGAGGAGCAAAUGAUGCAGCAGUAUCCGUAUCUCUUCGGAUGACAUGUAUGCUAAUUUCGAGGACGAAAUUUUUAUAAGGAGGGGAGAAUUGUCACAUCCCGACCCUUAUAUUUUUACCUUAUUUACUAGCCUGAUUAUAAUAAGAAUUUUACCGUCUCCGUCAUUGUGAAAAUAGUUUAAUUGGUCCCUAAAGGGGUUUCGGGGACGAUUAUGUGCGGAGGAUUAUUCGUAUGG